rnacentral:rRNA from 1 species
UGGGGAAUAUUGCACAAUGGGCGGAAGCCUGAUGCAGCGACGCCGCGUGAGGGAUGACGGCCUUCGGGUUGUAAACCUCUUUCAGCAGGGACGAAGCGAAAGUGACGGUACCUGCAGAAGAAGCGCCGGCCAACUACGUGCCAGCAGCCGCGGUAAGACGUAGGGCGCGAGCGUUGUCCGGAUUUAUUGGGCGUAAAGAGCUCGUAGGCGGCUUGUCGCGUCGACUGUGAAAUCUCAGGGCUCAACUCUGACAUUGCAGUCGAUACGGGCAGGCUAGAGUUCGGUAGGGGAGACUGGAAUUCCUGGUGUAGCGGUGAAAUGCGCAGAUAUCAGGAGGAACACCGAUGGCGAAGGCAGGUCUCUGGGCCGAUACUGACGCUGAGGAGCGAAAGCGUGGGGAGCGAACA